GGGACUUCGGUCCCGAGUAAAGUGGCGCACGGGUGAGUAACACGUGGAUAAUCUGCCUCUAUGAUGGGGAUAACAGUUGGAAACGACUGCUAAUACCGAAUACGCUCAUAAUGAACUUUAUGAGGAAAGGUGGCCUCUGCUUGCAAGCUAUCGCAUAGAGAUGAGUCCGCGUCCCAUUAGCUAGUUGGUGGGGUAACGGCCUACCAAGGCAACGAUGGG
rnacentral:rRNA from 1 species